GACGAGGGGUCCUAGCGUUGUUCGGAAUCACUGGGCGUAAAGCGUAUGUAGGCGGCUUUCAAAUCAGGUGUGAAAUCCCAUGGCUUAACCAUGGAACUGCAUUUGAAACUGUAAAGCUUGAGUAUUGGAGAGGAUGGUAGAAUUCCUGGUGUAGUGGUGAAAUACGUAGAUAUCAGGAGGAAUACCGGUGGCGAAGGCGGCCAUCUGGCCAAAUACUGACGCUGAGAUACGAAAGUGUGGGGAUCAAACAGG
rnacentral:rRNA from 1 species